GGACGCAGAAGCGGAAAUACAUGCAACGUGAUAUGUGACGAGCAUUGUAAACAAGUUUUGCUAGCCUGGGAAAGGAAUGCCAUUACAAGGGUCUUUUACUUGAAGCUCCAGGAUGUUGUGUGAAGUCCUGCUGUCAUCGCUAUGGUUCCUGUUCGUUAUCUUCUGGGUCGAGACAAUAAGUGUUUGGCUGUUUUUGUCCAUGUUCUACCAGGACCGAGCGUUUUACCACUGGGGAGAUGAGGUAUUUGCAGAUGAUCCUGGACAGAUGAUAUACAUGUUGAGCAG